UCCCUGGAGGGCUAGUGGUUCGGCCUCAGCGCUAUCACCGCCGCAGCCCGGGUUUGAUUCCUGGCCAGAGAA